CUGUCAGAUUGAACGCUGGCGGCAGGCCUAACACAUGCAAGUCGAACGGUAGCACAGAGAGCUUGCUCUCGGGUGACGAGUGGCGGACGGGUGAGUAAUGUCUGGGAAACUGCCCGAUGGAGGGGGAUAACUACUGGAAACGGUAGCUAAUACCGCAUAACGUCGCAAGACCAAAGUGGGGGACCUUCGGGCCUCACACCAUCGGAUGUGCCCAGAUGGGAUUAGCUAGUAGGUGGGGUAAUGGCUCACCUAGGCGACGAUCCCUAGCUGGUCUGAGAGGAUGACCAGCCACACUGGAACUGAGACACGGUCCAGACUCCUACGGGAGGCAGCAGUGGGGAAUAUUGCACAAUGGGCGCAAGCCUGAUGCAGCCAUGCCGCGUGUAUGAAGAAGGCCUUCGGGU
rnacentral:rRNA from 1 species